CCUACGGGAGGCAGCAGUGAGGAAUAUUGGUCAAUGGGCGCGAGCCUGAACCAGCCAAGUAGCGUGAAGGAUGACUGCCCUACGGGUUGUAAACUUCUUUUAUAAGGGAAUAAAGUGAGGCACGUGUGCCUUUUUGUAUGUACCUUAUGAAUAAGGAUCGGCUAACUCCGUGCCAGCAGCCGCGGUAAUACGGAGGAUCCGAGCGUUAUCCGGAUUUAUUGGGUUUAAAGGGAGCGUAGGUGGGUUGUUAAGUCAGUUGUGAAAGGUUGCGGCUCAACCGUAAAAUUGCAGUUGAUACUGGCAGUCUUGAGUACAGUAGAGGUAGGCGGAAUGCGUGGUGUAGCGGUGAAAUGCUUAGAUAUCACGAAGAACUCCGAUUGCGAAGGCAGCUUACUGGCCUGCAACUGACACUGAGGCUCGAAAGUGUGGGUAUCAAACAGGAUUAGAUACCCGGGUAGUC
rnacentral:rRNA from 1 species